CUUGGACUACAGUAAUAUUGAAUUUUACAGGAUGUAAACAACUCCCAUGUAAACUUUCUUUCAGAUGUUGUAAAAGUUGUAUAGUGUCCUGAAAAGAGAGCGUAUAACUCGAAGAUGUUUCGAAGAAAAGGAACUGUAGAAGUAGAAGUUGCUCGGGAGAAUGAGGUAAAGAUUGGUAUAACACAAGAAUUGUCUACAGCGCUUAAGAUGGUGCAGAAAGAGAAUGUUGGAACAGAAGAUCAGACUGUUUAUAGCACAGACACAGCUAAUAAUGUAUGUAGCUGUAUUGAAGCUAUAUUUCUACAUGGACUCAAAUCUAAGGCAGUCACAAAGAUUGCCAGUUAUGUUGGUCUAGGACAGGAAGCAACUUCACAGCCAAGCCUGAACUUUUGGAAUUUUGUAUCUCGUUUUACACAUGGGGAAGUGAUAGCUCAACUAAAGCAUCUGGGACAAAUAACUACAGAGAUAGGACUUUGUCGGGCUUGGGUGCGUGUGGCUCUCAAUGAUGGCAUUAUGGAGAGCUAUAUUGAUGCCAUGGUAUCUGACACAAAAAAUCUGAAAUAUUUUUACGAGAGCACAGCUUUUUUGAGAGACAGAGAGCAGCCAGGCAUUUUGAAAUCUUACCUCCAAGGUUUGAUGAACUUUGAAUUCAAGUUGUCAUACAAUGCAAGUGUGUUGAAUGAAUGGUCAUAUGCCCCACUGUUGUUAGCAGGAAUCAUAAGUAGUAAGGAUGCUCCUCCUCCUGUCAUCAAACCAGCAGGACCAAAGCCUAAACCUUCAAAAUACAGUCAUCAAGAAAAAGAUUCUGAAACAGUUGUUGAAGUUAUACAAAAUAAAUCAAGGUCAGGUGAGAUUAGUAUCAACUUGGACAUCGGAGAUUCCCCAUAUAACCCUAUGGAACAGCCUAAAUUUGGACGCCCAUUUGAUUCCAGCUACUAUGUUUCAUCUUCAGAAUUUACUUCAAAAGAUGUUGAAGAGUUAAAAAGCAUAUCAAGGAAUGUGAAAAGGCCCAUGUCCGAUUGCUCCAGUUCUAGUCAUAUGUCUGCACCAGAUCUUCCUCACAUGAACCUUAGCCCUGCAGCUUACGUUGAAAAGUAUGGUCUGCAAACAGCGUCACCUUCUUCUUGCAAAACUCCUGAAAGUGAGGAAAUAUUAAGACAAGAGGAAAGUAUUAUUACUCAGAAAAUAGAUGAAACUAAUGCAGUAAACUAUACUGAUAGUGAAAACUUUGGUGAAGAAGAAAUUGAGAAAGAUUUCGCUUUAUCUAACUUUAAAGAGGAUAUGAAAGAAAAUAGCAUUACACAAAAUCAUGAUUUAGAAGAAAGUUCAGAAGAGUUCUAUAAAAGUCCAGUGAAGAAGUGUCAAAAUGAAAAACAUGUUUUUGGGAGACUUAAGAGAUUAGAUUCAAUAAACAGAGAAGCUAAAGAAGAAGCCAUUUUGAACAGUUAUUUAGAUACAGAAAUUAUUCCACAUACAGAACAGAUACCUGAAGAGCCAGACAAAUUAAAUAAGGUUGAUGUGAUAACUGUUGAAAAACUAGAGAGUUUGGCAGAUAAAAUUGCCAUUCCAGAAGAUGUUGCAAAUGUUACAGACAAAGGGGACAGUCCAAAUAAUGGUAUUGAUAAUGAUACAAAUAAUGACACUUUAAGUGAUGAUAUGAAUGGAAUGAGUACAGCAGAAACUAAUGAAUUACUGGAUGCAUCACAAAAAUUGCUUAAUGAGCUAGGAAUAGAAAACCAGUGUGAUAUUAAGGAUGUGAAGCCAGAAAUUACUGAAGAGAGAUACAGUGUGAAAGAAAUGUUGAAGUCUAAAAAUAAAACAAAGAAACAUUUAGAAUCUGAUAGAUUAAAACCACAGCUAAGCCUUAGUCCUCCAAAAUCUGACAUUGUUGUAGCAGACCUUUCUGAUGCUGUAGCAAUCAAAGUUGAUCAGAUAAGGACAUUGGAUAAUCCAGAAUAUUUAUCAAAGCAUCGUCUUUCCUUACCAAAUACAGCAAGUGUUAGUAAAACUGAUAAAUAUGAACCUAGAAAAUCCUUACCUGAUGUACUUGAAUAUAACAGUGAAAAUGAUGAAGAGGUAGAAUACAGUAUAGAGGAUCAUUUAUAUGAUGGUAUGCCACUAAAUGAAGGUACUGAUGGCUUGUCCAGGGUACCAGGUGUAUAUGACCAGACUAUAGAGGACAGAAGUGUGGGAAAAAUGGGAAGUAGGGAAGAAAUGGAAGAUGAAAAGAGAGAUUUUAAUCCACCAGAAGGUGCACUAAAAAGGCUGAAUGAUAAACGAAACAGUGUUGGUAACAACUUGAUGAUGACAGGAAGAGGCUGGUCAUCCUCGUUUGACAGUGAAGCUGGUGAUAUAUUGGAAGCAUUCUCCCAACCACAAACAACUAUGUCUAUGCCAAUAACUAGAGAGAAAUCUGAAAGUUUUGGUAGUCUUCUACAGAACUAUACUCCAGCUAGUUCACUGUCGCCGAAGUCUGUUGAUGAUAUCCUUAGUAACUUUCCAAGAAGAAAAGACACAGUGUACUCUCCACAGCACUGUAGCUCUCCACUAAAUCAGGACACAGACCAGCUGGAAGGAUUUGAAGUAGUAACCAGUAAUUCUACAGAUCCUGAUCUUUAUUUGGGAAGCCGCGUGUUUGUAAGUUUGAUGGAUGCUAUUACUGUUAUGAAUGCCAUGAGAAUGAUGAGUACUACAUUCCUGCACGCAUUGUACAUAACUGGGACUUCAGAAAGCAUAAAGUUGGCAAGAAGAAUUUUGCAUUUGUAAUGGACAAGGAAGAGCAGCCAUACUUGAACAUUGACAUUAUCAACCCAAGACUGUAUGAACAUGUACAUGAAAUGCAAGAAAUUCAGAGUCUGAGACUUCAGUUGAUGCUGUUGAAGACAUAUCUGUUUACAUGUAAACAAUCUGUUGCUGAAGACUUACGUAAACUGGUUUGGCCUCGGGACUACCUCUUUGAGAGCACAGGGUUAUAUUCAUUAGCU
rnacentral:misc_RNA from 1 species